rnacentral:lncRNA from 1 species
UUGUCAUUCUUCUUCUUAUUCUUGGACUUGGGUGCAAACCCAAGUCCUUCCUUGCCCAUAACUUCCUUUUGAUUGCUCAAAAGGUCAUUGAGGUUCUUCUCACCUUGUAUGCAAGACACAAGGCCUUUCUCAAGUUGCUCCUUCAACUUGGCAUUCUCCUCCACAAGAUGCACAUGCUCACAACACGGGUGUGACGCCCGGAUAAUUAAGCUACAGUAAUCCCUCGUUAACGAUGCCACGUCACCCCGUUACUGUUGAUAAACUCUCGAUGGUUCAGAACCGAAACAAAUUUAAAAUAAAGACAAACAACAAAAGUUUUCAAACUUUAAAACUAAGAUGUUCGAGUUGUGCCAAAUAAUGCAAAGGUAAUUGUGUUGAAUAAACCCCACUUUUAUAAAAGCUUUAAAUACUCUAAAAUGAAUAAAACAGUAGCAAAACAAUUAAUGAAAUGCCUUUUAUAAUUAAUAAAAUGUUAAACUAUUCUAUUUAGGGACUAAACAUUUUAUGGUAGUGGGUUUAGUGGUAGUACUAAUUUAGGGGUCAUUUUUGUACUUUACAAAAAUAACAUAAAAGGAGGAACAAAGUAAAACAGAAAAGAAAUAAAAAACAUAUAAGAAAAUAAAAAUACAAAUACAAAAAAAGGGGCCUCGUGGCCAACUGGACCUCGGCCCGGCCAGUGGCCCAGCUGACCCCAGCCGCCCGAAUGGGCCGGCCCACCCCGCGCCCUAGCCUACUAACCCGAGGUCCGACCGACCGAAACCCUAACCCCCUCACCGCUCCCCCAAGACCCCCACUCCCUCCCCCUCGUCUCACUCCUCCUCUGCUUUCCCCCCGAUCCAGAUCGGAUCGGAGCGUGGGGGGCCCGACCCCGCCGCCUCGUCCCUACGCCUCGUCGCCGGCCUGCGCCUCCUCGUCGCCUGCCCACAGCGCCUCCUCAAACCUCCUCCCCAACCGACGCCCCCGACCCGUCGCGCGCCAUCGCCUCACCGGCCUCGCCGUCGGCGCCCGGACGCCGCCCCGAUCCCGUCGCCCUCGACCCGAGCCGCCAGGACGCCGCCGGACUUCGCAGGCUCGCUUCCCCGACCUCCCCCUCACUGGACCACCUCGCCCCCGGCCACGUCGGAUCGACCUCGUCUCCCCUCUCUGCCCCGCCGGACUACAUCGAUCCGCUGCCCCUGUCGACCUCCGGUCACACGAGCUCGUCCUCCGCCCCUGUGAGCUCCUCCUCCCCCCUCGCUUAUUCCCGAGCUCGGUUUCGAGCUCGAGCACUCCCGAUGCCGCGCCCGUAGCUCCUCCGCCCAAGUAGUCGCUGUGCUCUGCCCCGCCGAGACCACGUCCUACCCGCGUCCCAGCCGCGCUCGUCGCGCGCUACGGCCAUCGCCCCGCUCCACCCCGCCUUGGUGCCGCUCGCUCCGCCUCGGCUGCUAUUGUCGCGCCCGCUUCGACUCCCCGCCGGCGCUCCCGCUCGGGUGAGGCCGCGCCUGGCGCUCGCGCCCAUCGGGCGCCCAUGGCCGCCCGCUAGCACGCCCGACCCGCAAAGCCCCUGUGCCACUGACCUGGGGGCCCCACGGCCCAGAACGUUUUAAAAAUAAAUAAAUAAUAAAAAUAAAUAAAUAAUAAAUAAAUAGUAAAAAUAAUUAAUAAAAAUAUAUAAAUAAAUAAUUAAGAUAAUUAAUUAACUUAAUUAAUCCUGUUAAUAUUAACUAAUUAAGAUUAAUUAGCCUAAUAACUAAUUAACUGCUGUAAAUUAACUAACAGUCACUGACAGGUGGGACCCACCUGUCAGGUUGACCAGGUCAACGGUCAGCGUUGACUGCUAACGUCAUGCUGACGCAUUAAUUAAUUUUCGAAUUAAAUUAAUUUAUUAAAUUCUAAAAAUGAUUUAAGUCUUUAAAAAUUAAUAUAAAAUAAUCCGUAGCUCGGAUGGAAAAACUUUGUACAUGAAAGUUGCUCAGAACGAGGAGACGAAUCCGGAUACGCAGCCCGUUCGUCCGCCACACAUCCGUAGCAUAGCAAACCUGUAACAUUUCACCUCCGGUUCAUCUGUCCGAAAACGCGAAACACCGGGGAUACUUUCCCGGAUGUUUCCCCCCUUCACCGGUAUCACCUCAUACCGUGUUAGAACACGUCUAGCUCUGCCUGUUGUCCUGUUAUGCACUUGCUUGCUAUGUAUUUACUGUUUCUCCCCCCUCUUCCCUUCGGUAGACCCCGUGACGAUGCUGGUGCCCCUGUGGUCGACUACGUCACCGAUGACCCCUCCUUCUUGUCUGAGCAACCAGGCAAGCCCCCCCCCCUUGAUCACCAGAUAUCGCCUAUUCUUCUCUAUACUGCUUGCAUUAGAGUAGUGUAGCAUGUUACUGCUUUCCGUUAAUCCUAUCCUGAUGCAUAGCCUGUCAUUGUUACUACAGUUGUUACCCUUACCUGCUAUCCUACUGCUUAGUAUAGGAUGCUAGUGUUCCAUCAGUGGUCCUACACUCUUGUCCGUCUGCCAUGCUAUACUACUUGGCCGUGAUCACUUCGGGAGGUGAUCACGGGUAUAUACUAUAUACCUUAUAUACCUGACACAUGUGGUGACUAAAGUCGGGUCGGCUCGUUGAGUACCCGCAAGUGAUUCUGAUGAGGGGUCUGAAAGGACAGGUGGCUCCACCCCGGUAGAGGUGGGCCUGGGUUCCUGACGGCCCCCGACUGUUACUUUAUGGCGGAGCGACAGGGCAGGUUGAGACCGCCUAGGUGAGAGGUGGGCCUGGCCCUGGUCGGCGUUCGCGGAUAAACAACACGCUUAACGAGUUCUGGGUAUUUGAUCUGAGUCUGGCCAUUUGGUCUAUACGCACUAACCAUCUACGUGGGAGUAGUUAUGGGUAUCCCGACGUCGUGGUAUCAGCCGAAGCUCUUUUGACGUCAGCAACUGAGUGGCGCGCGCCGCAUUGGACCGUAAGCUCGCGCUUGUAUUAAGGGGGCUAGGUCUGCUUCCGGCCGCGUACGCAACGUGCAGGUGUGCAUAGGGCAAUGGGCCCAAACCCCUGCGCGCAUAGGUUUAGACCGGCGUGCUGACCUCUCUGUUGAGCCUAGGUGGGGCUGCGACGUGUUGAUCUUACGAGGCCGGGCAUGACCCAGAAAAGUGUGUCCGGCCAAAUGGGAUCGAGCGUGUUGGGUUAUGUGGUGCACCCCUGCAGGGAAGUUUAUCUAUUCAAAUAGCCGUGUCCCUCGGUAAAAGGACGACCCGGAGUUGUACCUUGACCUUAUGACAACUAGAACUGGAUACUUAAUAAAACACACCCUUCCAAGUGCCAGAUAUAACCCGGUGAUCGCUCUCUAACAGGGUGACGAGGAGGGGAUCGCCGGGUAGGAUUAUGCUAUGCGAUGCUACUUGGAGGACUUCAAUCUACUCUCUUCUACAUGCUGCAAGAUGGAGAUGGCCAGAAGCGUAGUCUUCGACAGGACUAGCUAUCCCCCCUUUAUUCUGGCAUUCUGCAGUUCAGUCCACUGAUAUGGCCCUUUACACAUAUACCCAUGCAUAUGUAGUGUAGCUCCUUGCUUGCGAGUACUUUGGAUGAGUACUCACGGUUGCUUUUCUCCCUCUUUUCCCCUUUCUAUACCGGAUUGUCGCAACCAGAUGCUGGAGUCCAGGAGCUAGAGAUCCCGAGGAUGAUUCUACAUGGAGUUCGGCUUCGAGGAGUAGUUAGGAGGUCCCAGGCAGGAGGCCUUGCCUUUUCGACUGUUGCUACUUUUGAGCUAGCCUUCUUAAGGCAAACUUGUUUAACUUAUGUCUGUACUCAGAUAUUAUUGCUUCUGCUGACUCGUCUAUGAUCGAGCACUUGUAUUCGAGCCCUCGAGGCCCCUGGCUUGUAUUAUGAUGCUUGUAUGACUUAUUUAUGUUUUAGAGUUGUGUUGUGAUAUCUUCCCGUGAGUCCCUGAUCUUGAUCGUACACAUUUGCGUGUAUGAUUAGUGUAUGGUCAAAUCGGGGGCGUCACAAGUUGGUAUUAGAGCCGACUGCCUGUAGGAAUCCCCCUUUCCAACUCCUUGGCCAAAGUCGAGUCUAGUCAGUGAAAACUGUUUUACUAACAUGGCUGUGUGGCUUACGGGCCCACGUCGCCAUUGGGUGGUAUUAGGAUCUUUUACUCCUUGCCUAUACUCUGGGACUCUGAUCUCUCUUCUAUUCGGGUUAAGUGAAUUUUACUAAAUCUAACAUUAGGAUCUCGUUAUCACUUUCACCCGGAGAGCCCUUAUUACUGAUGAUCGUCUGCUGCACGUGAAGACCCUGAAGAUACUCUCCGCUGAUAACCCGAAAACUUGUGUUUAUCGCUUUUGCAAUUCCCUUUCAUCGAUAAACUCCUAUGGAUAACCACGUAUACUCGCCACUCAUACAAUGUUUCCCAGUUGAUCUUGUUAUUACAAGAUACCCCGAAAUUCUCUUUGCUGCUCCGAGAAUUUUUUUGAGCUUACUGCCUUGCUGUUCUUUGCCACAUGAAUACCACUACGGAUAAUUUCUCGCACUUACUGAGUAUCCGGUCAUCCCCAGUUGAUUCAAGUAUUCCACAAUAGUCUUCAAAAUACUAUUCGAUCUUUCGAAAAUCCUCAGGAGCCUAUUGCUCUUGAAAUUCUUGUUUGCUUGCAUUAUGGUUAAUCCCAUAAGUCUCGUAAUCUUAUUGGCAUCUCUUGUCAUUAUCAUUUUGAGUCCGUUGAUUCAAUUUGUUGCGAAUGCUCGCAAUCCUCAAUCAUAUCCUAGAAUUCAUUCUUCCGGCUCAGACGACAUUUUAAACGUGAGCUGGAUCUCGACCUAUCAAAUUGCCAUCGAUUGUACCCCUAAGCCUACUCAACUUAUCCAUCCUUGAUCAGAGCGUUGCUUCUGACCCCAUGAUUUGGAAAUCAUAAUUCUUUUGCAUUUGAACUUUGAGUUAGUCAGUUGCUUCUAUAAUCAGAUCCCCUUGCAUUCUCCUUCCUCUGGUUGAGUACCGAUGCUCACAUCAGAUCCCUUGUGGACCAUCGGUUCCUUUGUUGGAUUUUAUCCGACAGUAUCCUUCAUAAUGAAUAACCUUGUGAGCCUUUCCAUGGGUAUAUAAUGCCUUUGGUAAAUUGUAUCAUCUGUUUUUGAACAAUGCUCUUCUUUCGAGCUUGUAAUAUUUAGUCUGAAGUUUGUGGUAUAUGUUCCUAAGAUGCCUUGAUGGGUUGAACCUAUACCUUCCCUAAAAACCGUAUGAACCCGAAGGUUUUCACAAGCCAUACCCUUCUGGUAUUUUACCAGAUAAUUUUCUACCAUACAACUUCAUCGAACGCGAGAAGUGAAUGAAAGGUUAUGCAUUGAAGAAGUGGGAGUCGACCUUGAACUUUGCGUUCAUGCCCAUGGACCCGAUGAAGAUCUUAUCAUUAAAGCUUUUCUUAAAUUAAAUUGUUCCAUUGGUAUAAGUUCAUCUUAUAUCUGGGAUCUGGCCUUUUUCAAUCAUGGUUCCGACCAUGUUCUCUUUUAAAUACCAUUUCUCAUACAAGUUGAGCACUUGUCUUCUGCAGAGCAAUACCCUAGUCCAGCCUCUACCUUGAUCUGUCGUCGAGUAUUACCCCCUCGUAUCUCGAGAUUAUCAUGGAACUGCAUAACUUCUUAUGAGUUCUUCAUCAAGUGCUACAUUCUCACUGAUUCCAAUUUUCCACGGGCUCUGAGUUAUUAGUCACUCGAGAACACCGACAAGUGAAUCGAUUCCGCACUCCGAUUCAAUAAAUCUAAGUAAUUCUUGUUGCUUACGAGAUUAAUAAUCCUUCAAGUCAUUACUAGCCUUAUCGGCUAUAUCCUUAUCGUGAAAACUUUUUAACUGUGCUACCCGGUCCUUCCCGGAACACAACUUUCGAUGAUGAGCUAAGCUUACGUCGAUCUUCCUCGUCGUAUUAGUUCGCCUUGAACAACAAGCUUGAUUUCAAGUUUGUGCCGUACCCCUGGUUCCAUUAACCUAUCGCUUUCAUCAUUCCUCUGACUUGAUGUCAUCACCGAUAGAUUACAUCUUCAUGAAAUCUCUCGACAAAUGUGUCGUGAUCAGCACCAACAUUUUGAGCUCUUCCAGGAUAUCAGUCGAAAUUCAGGAUGAGAAAUACCAUCCUUGCCCCUCGAUGAUUUGUGUUAUCAUCGGCAACGUUCUUGCCCCCCCCCCACUCCAAUUCAGACUUGAUCAUGAUAUGGAGCUCUUUCCUAUCUAGCUUAUGUUAGGUUCUACAUUGAAGUAUUACGGUCCUUCAUGUCAAGGAUAUUGUGAGAAUUUCUCCACCUCUUGAGAAUUCUUGAUAUAGUAAUACUUCUCGCCAUCUCCAUUUGUUUUAUGAUCCCCGUGUUGUUUCUAACCUGAAUACCGACAAUUCAACUAUGAAGUGCGACUUCAAAACUUCUAGCAACCCUAUUGCUUUGAAGUUAAUGGUCGAUAUUUCAUUCUUAGACCAUUGGUUAUCGAAUCACCGUUCUAACAUUGAUCAUUCUACCUAAGCCCAUAUUCGGGUGCACCUAACAACCAAUGUUUAACUGUGUAUGUUUUCCUCGAGCAUACAUCAUUAAGUCAUUCGAUCUAGCUAUUGUUAUCUCCUUGUUCACAUAGUGGUGGAAAUCCAUCUUUUGGAAAUCUCAAUGGAUUGUCGCUGAGUCAAUCAGUCACCUCCUCACCUCUCCUUGAUGAAAUGAACCCUUGUUCGGAACUCGCUUCCAUAGUUCAUCUCCCGAGAAUCUUCGAUGUCGUUUCGACAAUUUGUGUUGCACCUUUCUUCUCAGGCAUCCUGAGUCUGAGUUAUCCUGACACCAAUCAGAUCUGAAUCUCGGUCAGAUAUGAUGGUUGGAACAUAUUUCCAAGAGUUAUAACAUUGGCCUAUUUAUGACCCGGUAAGGUGAUGAUACCCAGCACACCUGGCGGGAGGACCUAUUGCUAUAAGUUUUCCCUUUUAGCAAGGUUAGCUGUUGUUCCAUGAGGAAAUUGUAAGACUUAUUCUAUAAGUUGUUCCUGAUGGAUCCUUUUUGUUUCCAAAGUCUGAUCUUCACCUGUUGACCAUGUCAAUGCUAUCUCGAAGCAUGUCUAUGGUACUCCGAUUUUCAACAGGAACAUUUGAAGCCCAAUGCUAAAUGUUUCCUGCUCAAUUAUCCUAACACAGUUGUAUGGGUAAUGCCAUGAAAUUUCUCUCCCCUACCUAAAGAGUUUUCUACAUUAUAUCCUGUCAUGAAUAUCAUACUCAGCUUGUCCUUGGGAAGGAUAUAACCUUGAAAUAUGUGUUUAAACACAUUUUCCUUUCCAUUCUUCUGUUUAAUCUGAUAAUCAUAUUUUCCUUUCCAUUGUGUGGUUUAACCUUUCUGGUGAACUAUAUGAUCUAAGCAGUAAUGUUCUCCUGCUUAUGUAAACACAUCGGUGUACAACUCUGUGAGUAAGACCCUGUUAUUAUUGUUGGUGACAUUUCGAUAACCACCGAUGGACGAGAACUUUGCCUAAUGGUCCGCCUCGUUUCAACGAGCAGGAAAAUGGUUCUCUUCGUCCCUCGCCCUUGGUACCGACGAUGUUGCUGACAUAUAACUGACAGGCUACCCUCUGCCAUGCCUUGCUAUCAUGAUCGUGCAAGAUAUCACCGCCCUUCCUAUUUUAACCCACAUGGUGGGCCCAUAACCCACAGUUCCACAGGAUCGAAACCUGACUCUCCUGUGCACCCCCUGUUCCCAAAUUUAUUCAUCGCGCGUGGCCUCGUAUGUAAUUCACGGGCCACCGUCCCAAGUGAUCAAUUCUGGUAUUGGACACAAUACUUAUUCCCGUUGCUCUGAACCCCUUUUCACUCUGUUUCAGGCAAUGAACGAUUGCCUAUCCGCUCGAAACUUCUUAUUGCACUGUCCUACUCUGCUCUCGAUGUGUUUCAUUUGUUCAACUCGAGAGAUACUCAUAUGUUCAUUCUUGGGAUAACCCCCCAGAUGAUUUUCCCUAAUAACAUCCUAUCGUUGAAGAGCUGCCCCUUACCUAUUCGUAAGUACGAUGGAGUUCCCCGAAGAAAGGACGACAACAUCAUCAUGAUGCAUAGGAAUAAAGAAUUGAAGACAUCAAUGAAAGGGAUUAACUUCUUCGAGAAGAUCCGUUAUAAUUUCGUAAUCAGAACUUUCCCCCUUACCCCACCUCCUAAAUCUCGGGACGAGAUUUCUUGUAGUGGAGGAGAAUUGUGAUGCCCGGAUAAUUAAGCUACAGUAAUCCCUCGUUAACGAUGCCACGUCACCCCGUUACUGUUGAUAAACUCUCGAUGGUUCAGAACCGAAACAAAUUUAAAAUAAAGACAAACAACAAAAGUUUUCAAACUUUAAAACUAAGAUGUUCGAGUUGUGCCAAAUAAUGCAAAGGUAAUUGUGUUGAAUAAACCCCACUUUUAUAAAAGCUUUAAAUACUCUAAAAUGAAUAAAACAGUAGCAAAACAAUUAAUGAAAUGCCUUUUAUAAUUAAUAAAAUGUUAAACUAUUCUAUUUAGGGACUAAACAUUUUAUGGUAGUGGGUUUAGUGGUAGUACUAAUUUAGGGGUCAUUUUUGUACUUUACAAAAAUAACAUAAAAGGAGGAACAAAGUAAAACAGAAAAGAAAUAAAAAACAUAUAAGAAAAUAAAAAUAAAAA